rnacentral:misc_RNA from 1 species
UGCGGCUGGAUCCCCUCCUUUCUAAGGAGCUUCGCUCGGACCCGAUCACCAAUCCGGUGAACGGGAGCACCCGAGCCAGCACCAGUUGGCGCACUGGCGAGCUUGUCGUUCGAGAUCGAGUGGUUGAAGCUUCGGCUCCCACCUCGAGCUCGACCGCCGAGUCCUGAGUCCUCUCUUCCGUUUUGAGGGAGCCACCCCCGUCACCGUUUGAGCCCACAUCGGCUCCGGUGCUCCGGGUGUGUGGUGCACCUCGUUGCCCCUUGAGAACUGCAGAGCGAGCACGAGCAUCUUCAAAUAUUCAGUUCGAAAUGAUCAAGCUACAAAGAGCCAACGGUGGAUGCCUUGGCGCCUGGAACCGAUGAAGGACGUGGGUGACUGCGAAAAGCCACGGGGAGCUGUCGACCGAGCGUCGAUCCGUGGAUGUCCGAAUGGGGAAACCCGG